CGCGAAUGGCUCAUUACAACAGCUAUAAUUUACUUGAUCUUGACACAAUCCUACUUGGAUAACUGUGGUAAUUCUAGAGCUAAUACAUGCAUUAAAGCUCUGACCUCACGGGAAGAGUGCAUUUAUUCGAACAAAACCAAGCGGCUUCGGCCGUCCGCAGUUGACCCAGAAUAACUAAGCUGAUCGCAUGGUCUUGAACCGGCGACGUGUCUUUCAAGUAUCUGCCUUAUCAACUUUCGAUGGUAGUGUAUCUGACUACCAUGGUGGUGACGGGUAACGGAGGAUGAGGGUUCGACUCCGGAGAAGGGGCCUGAGAAAUGGCCACUACGUCUAAGGAUGGCAGCAGGCGCGCGAAUUACCCACUCUCAGAAUGAGGAGGUAGUGACGAGAAAUAACAAGACCGUUCUCACAAGAGGCCGGUCAUUGGAAUGGGUACAAUUUAAACCCUUUAACGAGUAUCUAUGAGAGGGCAAGUCUGGUGCCAGCAGCCGCGGUAAUUCCAGCU
rnacentral:rRNA from 1 species